rnacentral:rRNA from 1 species
CCCUUAGAUGUCCUGGGCCGCACGCGCGCUACACUGAGUGUCUGAGAUACGAGUCUGCCUGGUCCGGCAAGGUCUAGGUAAUCGCUAAAAGACACAUCAUGCUUGGGAUAGAUUAUUGCAAAUAUUAAUCUUGAACGAGGAAUUCCUAGUAAGCGCAAGUCAACAGCUUGCGUUUAUUACGUCCCUGCCCUUUGUACACACCGCCCGUCGCUACUACUGAUUGGAUGUUUAAGCGAGGUCCUCGAACUGCUAGCGACUUAGCUUCGGUGAGGUCGCAGUGUGGGAAGUGAACCUAGCUUUGGUGUCUAGAGGAAGUAAAAGUCGUAACA